rnacentral:rRNA from 1 species
AAUGAACGCUGGCGGCAGGCCUAACACAUGCAAGUCGAACGGAUCCUUCGGGAUUAGUGGUGGACGGGUGAGUAACGCGUGGGAACAUACCCUUUGGUACGGAAUAGCCUCGGGAAACUGGGAGUAAUACCGUAUGUGGUCGAGAGACGAAAGAUUUAUCGCCAAAGGAUUGGCCCGCGUUGGAUUAGGUAGUUGGUGGGGUAAUGGCCUACCAAGCCGACGAUCCAUAGCUGGUUUGAGAGGAUGAUCAGCCACACUGGGACUGAGACACGGCCCAGACUACUACGGGAGGCAGCAGUGGGGAAUCUUAGACAAUGGGGGAAACCCUGAUCUAGCCAUGCCGCGUGAUCGAUGAAGGCCUUAGGGUUGUAAAGAUCUUUCAGGUGGGAAGAUAAUGACUGUACCACCAGAAGAAGCCCCGGCUAACUCCGUGCCAGCAGCCGCCGUAA